GAUACGGGGGCGGGUUCUGUUUACCCUCGUGUAUAUUUUUGAGCCUGCCUAUACCUCGGUGUUUAUACCCGUAGUCGAAAUCAGCCCCGAUGGCCGGUCUAAUUUCGACCUUGUUUGUUUUGAAUCGUGAAGCCCCACUUGGACGGGCGCGCGUGAUAUUUCCAAAGUUUACAACCGGGGUAUACGCGAAUCGUUCGAUGAGGCGAAACUUCAAAAACAGAAGCGAUAGAGUGUUCGUACCAUUUCGUCAAACUGCGUCAUCUCACUUUUGUCGAGCUUCGUUUUUAUUGUUAGUGCGAUUCGGUCAAAGGACGCCGCGCCGCUCGUACUCGAGCUUGAGAUCUCCAUCGCCUUCUUUGUAACGGAUAUACCGUACUCGAGAAAAAAAGCAACACCCGGUUACCCAUAGUCGGAGAGCGUCCGACCUUACGCGUUACAUCCACGUCGCUUCCCGAAAUCUUUCAUCGCCGAUUCUUAUCGCCUCUGCUCCGGAGCCUGCGGAUCGACCCUGCGCACUCCGUGCGCUUAAUUGCAACCGUGAGUUCGACGAACGAGAAAAAAAAAAAAACCGACCGACGCGACGCGACGUCGAUUUUAUAAUAAUUGAUUUUUUAUUCGGUUAAUCAGGUUACCGGUCGGCGCCGGUACACCGUUCGGGAUUUAUUUUUCGUGCGGUUUUGUUGUCCCUGUAUGUCAAAGGAAAGCAAGCCCUUUCGGCUGCCAUUGACGUUAUUUGCAGUUCCCAUACAUAAAAUUGACGUGUUUUCGGAAACACCAUAAUCCGUUUGCUAUUAGGGACGUAUACUCGGCAAAUACAUUUACGUUGCCAUAGAGGCACGUUGACGGUCCAGAUUAUCGUCAAAGGAUUGACACGAGACGUUCCAUUGGCCGAGUCACGGGCCGAGGGUUCACUUCGCAAAAUUGACGUUUUGACAUCUCGCCACACCGUUUCCGACCGAGCCCUUCGCUCCACCUACCAUGAGACGAAAUUCCGUUCCUCUAACAAGAUGAGAAAACGCGGAAUUUGGGGCGUCGCGACGCAGGCGCUUGUACAAAACGCCCUCGCGUAGUCAGCCAUCGCUGCGUAGUCAUGGAAACCGUGGAUAAGGUUCCGGAGGAUUCAGAAAGCGCUAUUGAUCAGGACGAAGAGGAAAUGUAUCAGAACUCUGAAUCCUCCAACAAAGAUCACCACGGUAUAGAACGUGACGUGUAAUUAAAGGGAGUUUCGGGAGGCGCGUGGCUCGUGAUCCCCGCUGAUGCUGGCAAUUAUCGUGAGCUUAGUUGACAGUCGAGCGUUGACAGGGAGCGUGCCUACCCCUCGUGUAAGCUUCCAACGCCGCGGUGCCGACGAUGUACGGAAACGCGUCCGUGAGGGCCCAACGAUCAAUUCGAUAUCGCGCAUCGCCUGUCCCGCAGGCCAACUCACCCCGAGGUGAGAAUUUUUCCCGUUACUGUACCCGUACCGUUUCGACUCGUGAUUCGCGAAGGCGCAGGACCCGCGCAUCCGUUGAACGAUACUUUUUUUUUACCCUCGUGUGAAUUUCGGUUACGAAUUGAUACGACGAUACCAAAUAUAAGAAGAAAUUGAGACCGAAAUAUCGAGGCGCAACUCGACGGCUGCCGUCGUCACUUCGAAGGGCAGUAUAAAAUAUGGGUGGGAAUUGUCGUGAAACCCUGAAGAGAUAUCGUCUUACGUCGUGUCGACCGACGCGUAAGAUGAAAUGAAAGAAGAAAAAAAAAAGCGACAAAAGAAACUGGAAAACAAUAAAAAAAAAAAAAAAAAAAAAAAGGAAGAACAAGGCUGCUGCAGGUACUUAUGGGAAUCCUAUAACACGGAAAUUUAGCGUCCGCACCCCGGAGAUAAAUAAUUAACCGGGGCGAAGGCGGCCGAUGUUUGCAGCGAAUGUAGAUAUUUUUAUUCCCUGAGAGUUGAAAGCUAACAGUUUCCGAAAAUAAACAUCUUAUCCCUCGGCGAAGGACCGUCACGUCGUCGUCCUACUCUCCGUACGAUUCUAUGCAGUGAGAAAACUGCCGGCGCUGCUAACUGCCACCGCUUUUUCCUCUAUACCGAUGUCAACAACGCGCCGUAACCGAUCACCCAAGUUUUGUGCCUGGGGACGUGUCAGCUGUCAAGAUCUUAACUACAAACAUACAUGAGGUAUGUCGCAUACUUCUUACUCGCGUAUCACGUUUUACAUUUACGAUUCGAAACCAACGACUUGAGACGAUCGUCUGAUCGGAACACGACCUUCUUACGCAUCGCCGAGUUUCGCCUCCCGCGGGACAGACGGAAUACCGCGCAGCGAUCGACGGCCAAGGAAUAACCGGGAGGUAAAAAUUGAUCGGAUCGGCGAUGGAGUGGAAGUGGAUCGCUGCACGCAGAUUUGGCUGAAGACCGAGAUGACGUUGAUUUUGACCCGUGUGGCACCUAGCGACCGCUGCCGCUUGUUGUUGUUGCUGUUGUUGUUGCUGCUGCUGUUGUUGGUGUUGGUGUUGCAUUCCCAAUCUCAGCUAUAACACGAGAGCCACGUAUUUAUGGGUAUUUCUAUUUAUCAUCGAAAAUCUGUAAGAAGAGGAGGUGAAUAUUAUAUGGGCGAACGAGGGGAGCGAAAAGUCAUCAAUUAUUAUUGAAAAUAAAUCGAAGGCAGAUGUGACGAGUGCCUACAGGGAUCAGCGGGUGGCCAAUUCAGACACACGUCGUUCUUACGCUAGAGCACCCCACGAUUCCGACAAUACUGUUUCUACAAAGCGAUACAAGGCGAUGAGGAGAACACCGUACGGGACGGGGGACACGCGGGGGGGGGGGGGGCUCCCCUCACACUCUAGGUAUACGUGCCUCGUGUGCUCUAUUAGAGGACCCGACGAUCCGGGGAGGGCGCGAAUAUUUGAAAGGCAAUUAUAUAUCAAUAAGUUCAAGUGCUCGCCAAACGGCCUGCGUUAUACAUAUACUUUGGGGGGGGGGGGGGGGGGGGUCGCGAUCUUCGACUUAAUUCGAUCGUUUGCUUCUUAAUUAUUGGACGAAAUUUCUACGUAUGUAUAUGCAUAUUUCCACCGAUUCCUUAUUCCGCAUCUUCGAAUACCUAUACCUAGUAUUUUUAUAUAUACGUACAAUAAUAUAGUUGUUGACCCGUAGGAAGUUCAGAUAAAGUAUAUUUUAUUUAUCUGACCACCGGAAGUUUGAAAGUGUUGGCUAGGCGAUAACGAGGCUACGUACACUAUCGACUUUGCUUUGAACUAUAAUGUGAGAAACUAGUCGCUCUAUGUACACAGAGGC